UAUGUACUCUCUUCGUCCGAAAAUACUUGUCUCACAAAUGGAUGUAUCUAGAUGUAUUUUAGUUCUAGAUACAUCCAUUUUAUCCAUUUCUCCGACAAGUAUUUUCGGACAGAGGGAGUAGCUU
rfam:Triticum aestivum genome assembly, contig: Triticum_aestivum_CS42_TGACv1_scaffold_542472_6DS